UACGUAGGGGGCAAGCGUUGUCCGGAUUUAUUGGGCGUAAAGAGCGUGUAGGCGGCCAGGGAGGUCCGUUGUGAAAACUCGAGGCUCAACCUCGAGACGCCGAUGGAAACCCCCUGGCUAGAGUCCGGAAGAGGAGAAUGGAAUUCCUGGUGUAGCGGUGAAAUGCGCAGAUAUCAGGAGGAACGCCGAUGGCGAAGGCAGGUCUCUGGGCAUUAACUGACGCUGAGGAGCGAAAGCAUGGGGAGCGAACAGG
rnacentral:rRNA from 1 species